rnacentral:rRNA from 1 species
UGAGGAAUAUUGGUCAAUGGGCGAGAGCCUGAACCAGCCAUCCCGCGUGCAGGAAGACGGCCCUAUGGGUUGUAAACUGCUUUUUUAUGGGAAGAAAAAGCUCUACGUGUAGGGCACUGACGGUACCAUAUGAAUAAGCAUCGGCUAACUCCGUGCCAGCAGCCGCGGUAAUACGGAGGAUGCAAGCGUUAUCCGGAUUUAUUAGGUUUAAAGGGUGUGUAGGCGGAAGAUUAAGUCAGUGGUGAAAUCUCACAGCUUAACUGUGAAACUGCCAUUGAUACUGGUUUUCUUGAGUAUAGUUGAAGUAGGCGGAAUGUGUAAUGUAGCGGUGAAAUGCUUAGAUAUUACACAGAACACCGAUUGCGAAGGCAGCUUACUAAGCUAUUACUGACGCUGAUGCACGAAAGCGUGGGGAGCGAACAGGAUUAGAUACCCUGGUAGUCCACGCUGUAAACGAUGAUUACUCGUUGUUGGCGA